rnacentral:rRNA from 1 species
UACGAACCUUACAAACGUUAUUCGGAAUCACUGGGCUUAAAGGGUGCUUAGGCGGCCAUGUAAGUGAGGUGUGAAAUCCCUCGGCUCAACCGAGGAACUGCGCUUCAUACUGCAUGGCUUGAGGGAGACAGGGGUAAGCGGAACUGAUGGUGGAGCGGUGAAAUGCGUUGAUAUCAUCAGGAACACCGGUGGCGAAAGCGGCUUACUGGGUCUCUUCUGACGCUGAGGUACGAAAGCUAGGGUAGCGAACGGG